rnacentral:tRNA from 1 species
GCGGAAGUGGCGGAAUGGCAGACGCGCUAGCUUGAGGGGCUAGUGGGAGCAAUCUCGUGUGGGUUCAAGUCCCAUCUUCCGCACCA